GACAGAGGUGCCAAGCGUUAGGCGGAAUCACUGGGCUUAAAGCGUGUGUAGGCGGAUGUCUAAGUACCUUGUGAAAUCCCACGGCUCAACCGUGGAACUGCUUGGUAUACUGGAUGUCUUGAGCCAUCUAGGGGCUACCGGAACAAAUGGUGGAGCGGUGAAAUGCGUAGAUAUCAUUUGGAACGCCAAUGGUGAAAACAGGUAGCUGGGGAUGUGCUGACGCUGAGACACGAAAGCCAGGGGAGCAAAACGGGG
rnacentral:rRNA from 1 species